rnacentral:rRNA from 1 species
AGUGAACGCUGGCGGCGUGCCUAACACAUGCAAGUCGAACGAACACACGAGGAGAUUUUGCUCUUGCCGGUAGCGGGGGGCGGGUGGGUGAGGAGUGGAUCACCAUCCUCUUUUUCUUGGGGGAUUACGGGGAGACAGUUACAAUAAUAGCUAAUAUAACUUACCGGAUGGAUCAAUGGAUCUACGCGGCUUUUCUGUUUCAAUUAGCCGGAGUCGCAUUAGCUAGUUGGUAUGGUAAAGGCUUACCAAGGCAACGAUGCGUAGCUGGUCUGAGAGGGUGAUCGGCCACACUGGAACUGAGACACGGUCCAGACUCCUACGGGAGGCAGCAGUAGGGAAUCUUCCGCAAUGGGCGAAAGCUUGACGGAGCAACGCCGCGUGAGUGAUGAAGGUCUUCGGAUCGUAAAGCUCUGUUAUUAGGGAAGAACAAAUGUGUAAGUAACUAUGCACGUCUUGACGGUACCUAAUCAGAAAGCAACGGCUAACUACGUG